CGUGAAGCGGAGUAGGCCCUUCGGGGUACAACUAGUACAGGUGCUGCAUGGCUGUCGUCAGCUCGUGUCGUGAGAUGUCGGGUUAAGUCCCUUAACGAGCGAAACCUUUGCCCUUAGUUACCAGCGGGUUAUGCCGGGGACUCUAAGGGGACUGCCGGUGUCAAACCGGAGGAAGGUGGAGAUGACGUCAAGUCCUCAUGGCCUUUAUGCCCAGGGCCACACACGUGCUACAAUGGCGUCCACAAAGCGAACCGAGAGCGCAAGCUGGAGGAAAUCGCACAAAUGACGCCCCAGUUCAGAUCGGAGGCUGCAACUCGCCUCCGUGAAGUCGGAAUCGCUAGUAAUCGCGGAUCAGCAUGUCGCGGUGAAUACGUUCCCGGGUCUUGUACACACCGCCCGUCACACCAUGGGAGUGGGUUCCACCAGAAGUAGGUAGCCUAACCUGCAAAGGGGGGCGCUUACCACGGUGGGAUUCAUGACUGGGGUGAAGUCGUAACAAGGUAACCGU
rnacentral:rRNA from 1 species